GGACGGGUGAGUAAUGCUUGGGAAUCUAGCUUAUGGAGGGGGGUAACUACGGGAAACUGUAGCUAAUACCGCGUAAUAUCGAAAGAUUAAAGUGUGGGACCUUCGGGCCACAUGCCAUAGGAUGAGCCCAAGUGGGAUUAGGUAGUUGGUGAGGUAAAGGCUCACCAAGCCGACGAUCUCUAGCUGGUCUGAGAGGAUGACCAGCCACACUGGGACUGAGACACGGCCCAG
rnacentral:rRNA from 1 species